GCUAGGAUGGCCGAGUGGUCUAAGGCGCGUGACUUAAGUUGACUCCAACUUUCAUCUCGUGGCGCAAGCCGCGUGGGUUCGAACCCCACUCCUAGCA